AUACGGAGGAUGCAAGCGUUAUCCGGAUUUAUUGGGUUUAAAGGGUGCGUAGGCGGUUUGCUAAGCGGGAGGUGAAAUGCCGGCGCUCAACGUCGGAAGUGCCUCCCGAACUGGUGGACUGGAAUGACUCUGCCGUGGGAGGAAUGUGUAGUGUAGCGGUGAAAUGCUUAGAGAUUACACAGAACACCGAUUGCGAAGGCAUCUGACGAACUGCCCACUGACGCUGAGGCACGAAAGCGUGGGGAUCAAACAGGAUUAGAUACCCUGGUAGUCCACGCAGUAAACGAUGAUGACUAACUGCCGGCCCGUUGCGGGUCGGUGGCCAAGCGAAAGCGAUAGGUCAUCCACCUGGGGAGUACGACCGCAAGGUUGAAACUCAAAGGAAUUGACGGGG
rnacentral:rRNA from 1 species